GAGGCGCGACGCCUGGCUUGGAGGGGUCGCCGAGCUGGGUGGGAGCGCAGGGCCCACCGCGGACGGCCCGCACGAGCGGAUAGACCGCGGAGCGCCCCGGGCGAGGCGUUCGGCGUGGAUUGGGUAGGAGCGACGGGCCUGAAGCUGAGGAGCUACGCCGAGGCCGCCACAUCCUCGACCCUUGCCCUAGACGGAGCGGAGGCCUCACGGGAUAAAUGGGGCGCGCACAGGCGUUUAAGGCCCCGGCUCCUUCUCUAGAGCCGAGAUCUGAGCUCAGCACAUAGAUGCUACUCAGGAACCUUUCCCAAAAUGUUAGAAGAGGGAUAGAAAAACAUUUGCAACUUUUGUUUCACUUGGUGAACGAGUCAGGAACUGUUUGUGCACAAUAAUCCAACAUCAGUUUAAGAUUUUUGGCUGUGUUUUCUCAAGAGCAAGAAAAGAUUUUGCUUCCAAUUCCUGCACAUUAUUUUUUUAUUGGUUGGAUUUCCUAUUCAGCACCACUUUACUUUCAUUAUUUUGGUUAUUAAUCUGUUCAUUUUGGAAGAUAUAAUUGCAUCAUUUCCAUAACCAGGAGAAUUGCUGUCUGCUCCUCAGCUCUAUCAUUAAUGAAGAUCUUUGUCUGUUGGGUUUCCUUAGUACAGAGUUCUGGAAAGAUGGAUAUUAGAAAAGUGAGAAGACAAAGAAAAAUUGCGUGGAAGAUACUGUUGCUGAGUGGGAAGAAUGAGAUUGGUGGAUAGCUAGAGCAGUCCAUCGCUGUCAUCAUUACCAUCAUCAUCAUCAUCAGAAGCAUGGUCUAACCACACCUAGAGCUUCUGUUGAACUGGAAUUAAAAUCACUUGAAUUGCUACCCAUUCUUUAUCUCAACUGGUUCUUCAUUAUCUCAUUUUGUCGAAGAUUGCUGUCUUCAAUGAAAGUAUAUGAUACAUUUGCUAUAUAACAUUUUAAUGUUUCUUGUUUGGUGCCUGAAGAAAUUUUGCUAUGUGAAAAGCCACUAUCACCCUUCUCCGUAGCAUUCUCCUCCAAGAGCCAUCAAAUAAGAAAACCAAUUACAGUAAUUUUCUACCACACAUAGAGGUGAGAGUUCCACCAAUCUGAAACUAAGUUAGCUAUUCCAAACAACAGGAUGCAUUAUUGUAGAGUAAAUAAAAAGUGAUUGAAGUCUUUACCCUUAAUUAGAAUAAAACUCAUUUAAAAGACAAAAUGCUUAGGGAAUAUAGUCAAUAAUAUUUUAGUAACUUUGUAUGGUGACAGAUGGUAACUAGGCUUAUUAUAGGGAUCAUUUCAUGAUGUAUAAAAAUAUCCAAUCACUAUGACGUACACUUGAAACUUAUAAGAUAUUGUGUGCCAAUCAUAUUUCCAUUGGGGAAAAAAAAGGAUUUGAUUCAUUUUCUCUCUGAGUCACAUUAAAUUUUUAGUGAUGUGCAUGUACCUCUGGGCAGACAGGUUCUGUUUCGAUUCUCAAGUAAAAAAGCCAAAUAAAAUGUCUUAAGACGUUCUUGGAACAGUUAGAAGCAUGAAGUGCCAAAAUAUUUCAUGAGAAAUAGACAACCUGUUUUCUCAAGAUUUCUAGUCCAACUAAAGAAAUUCAAGAAAGAGGAGAUUCUUAACUCCUAACAUUAUCUUUAAAGAGUUUGUGAAAGAGAAAAUAAAGACCAGAAGUUAAGUAACAGAGAGCAGAGUGGUAAAAUGUUGCCACCUGCUUCUUUGCUUGAGAGAAGAGAAAGAUGAAGUGUGUACAUGUGGGCAUGCGUGCUGGAGCACAGAUAGAAAGUACAAGACUUCAAGGGCUCAGGGUCAAAAUAAUGAGUGUACAAGCUGGUUUGCUUUCAAUUUUUAAUUUGUUUCCACUUCUUAAAAUGGCAUAAUGGGGGGGGGGGCGCGG